rfam:Sulfurimonas sp. RIFOXYD2_FTLL_37_8 rifoxyd2_full_scaffold_2767, whole genome shotgun sequence.
AGGCGUGUAGCUCCAAUGGUUAGAGCAUCGGAUUCCAAAUCCGAGUGAUGGGAGUUCGAGUCUCUCCACGCCUG